UUUCCGUAGGUGAACCUGCGGAAGGAUCAUUAUUGUAUAACCGAGGUGCGAGGGCUGUCGCUGACCCGAAAGGUCGUGCACGCCCGAGUGCCCUCACACACAUCCAUCUCACCCCUAUGUGCACCACCGCGUGGGUCCCCCUUUGGCUUGUUCGGAGGGGGGCUUACGUUUUCACACAAACUUUGUAUGCAGUGUAGAAUGUAUUUUUUGUUUUUGCGAUCACGCAAUCAAUACAACUUUCAACAACGGAUCUCUUGGCUCUCGCAUCGAUGAAGAACAGC
rnacentral:misc_RNA from 1 species